AGCCCAAACCAGUGACUUGUCACUGGGGUUGCGGACAGAACAUUAACGAGAAGAUGUUGUUAACCGAACAUAACUGGAAAGUUAGACCGUAGGAGGUAAUAGUCCUGUAGGUGAAAGCGACAUUAAUCAAGUUCUGAUCCAGAGUACCACGAGACACGUGAAACCUUGUGGGAAGCAGGGAGGACCACCUCCCAAGGCUAAAUACUACCUGAUGACCGAUAGUGAAGCAGUACCGUGAGGGAAAGGUGAAAAGAACCCCGGGAGGGGAGUGAAAUAGAACCUGAAACCGUGUGCCUACAACCGGUCAAAGCCCCUUAUGAGGGUGAUGACGUGCUUUUUGUAGAACGAGCCAACGAGUUACGGUAUGUAGCAAGGUUAAGUACUUAAGGUACGGAGCCGAAGGGAAACCGAGUCUUAAUAGGGCGACUAGUUGCAUGCCGUAGACCCGAAACCGGGUGACCUAUCCAUGGCCAGGUUGAAGCGAGGGUAAAACCUCGUGGAGGACCGAACCACGUUGCUGUUGAAAAAGCAUGGGAUGAGCUGUGGAUAGCGGAGAAAUUCCAAUCGAACUCGGAGAUAGCUGGUUCUCCCCGAAAUAGCUUUAGGGCUAGCGUCGGAUAUGUGUAGUGGAGGUAGAGCACUGAAUGGGCUAGGGGGCAUAUCGCUUACCGAACCUUAUCAAACUCCGAAUGCCAUAUACAUUUAGUCCGGCAGUCAGACUACGAAUGAUAAGAUCCGUGGUCAAAAGGGAAACAGCCCAGAUCGUCAGCUAAGGUCCCAAAGUGUAAGUUAAGUGGAAAAGGAUGUGGGAUUUCUAAGACAACUAGGAUGUUGGCUUAGAAGCAGCCACUCAUUUAAAGAGUGCGUAAUAGCUCACUAGUCGAGAGAUCCUGCGCCGAAAAUGUCCGGGGCUAAAACUUACCACCGAAGCUACGGGCUUGCGUAAGCAAGCGGUAGGGGAGCGUCGUAAUCGGGCUGAAGUCGUACCGUAAGGAGCGGUGGACUGAUUACGAGUGAGAAUGUUGGCAUUAGUAGCGAGAUGUAGGUGAGAAUCCUACAGGCCGAAUAUCUAAGGUUUCCUCAGGAAGGCUCGUCCGCUGAGGGUUAGUCGGGACCUAAGCCGAGGCCGAAAGGCGUAGGCGAUGGACAACAGGUUGAUAUUCCUGUACCACUACCAUCGUUAUUAUCGAGGGUGUGACGGAGAAGGAUAGUGUGUGCUAGCGAUUGGAAAUGCUAGUCUAAGCGUUUAGGCAGUUACGGUAGGCAAAUCCGCUGUAACGUUAAUGCUGAGGCGUGAUGGGGAAGGCCCUUGAGGCUGAAGUACAUGAUUCCAUGCUUCCAAGAAAAGCAUCUAGAGAGAGAAGUAGUGCCCGUACCGCAAACCGACACAGGUAGAUGAGGAGAGAAUCCUAAGGCCGGCGGAAGAAUUGCAGUUAAGGAACUAGGCAAAUUGACCCCGUAAGUUAGCGAGAAGGGGUGCCUGCGAGAGCAGGCCGCAGAGAAUAGGCCCAAGCAACUGUUUAGCAAAAACACAGGUCUCUGCUAAAGCGCAAGCUGAUGUAUAGGGGCUGACGCCUGCCCGGUGCUGGAAGGUUAAGGGGAACACUUAGCGCAAGCGAAGGUGUGAACUUAAGCCCCAGUAAACGGCGGCCGUAACUAUAACGGUCCUAAGGUAGCGAAAUUCCUUGUCAGGUAAGUUCUGACCCGCACGAAUGGCGUAAUGACUUGGGCACUGUCUCAACUGCAAAUCCGGCGAAGUUGUAGUGCGAGUGAAGAUGCUCGCUACCCGCGAUUGGACGGAAAGACCCCGUAGAGCUUUACUGUAGCUUAGCAUUGAAUUCCGGUAUUGUCUGUACAGGAUAGGUGGGAGACUGGGAAACUAGGGCGUCAGCCUUAGUGGAGUCGUCCUUGGGAUACCACCCUGACAGUACUGGGGUUCUAACAGGACGCCAUGAAUCUGGUGACUGGACAUUGUUAGGUGGGCAGUUUGACUGGGGCGGUCGCCUCCUAAAAAGUAACGGAGGCGCCCAAAGGUUCCCUCAGAACGGUCGGAAAUCGUUCGUAGAGUGCAAAGGCAGAAGGGAGCCUGACUGCGAGACCUACAAGUCGAGCAGGGACGAAAGUCGGG
rnacentral:rRNA from 1 species